UGAGUUUAGUUGGAGUCUGGAGUUCACG
rnacentral:piRNA from 1 species